GAGGGUAUAGCUCAAGUGGUAGAGCGCAUGCUUAGCAUGCAUGAGGUCCUGGGUUCAAUCCCCAGUACCUCUU
rnacentral:tRNA from 1 species